GAGGCCUCACAGUCACUCUGCGGUAUUUAAAGAUACCCCUCUUUCAUUUAUUUAAUUGAUCUUGAUAUAAAGGUACCUCUCAUCUAUUUAAUUGAUCUUUAUUUAAAGAUGCCUGUCAUCUAUUUAAUUAAUCUUUGUUUCAAUCAGAAUGACAUCUCAUGGGAAAGGGAGGGUUAGUUACAGCAAAUCCCCUAAUCCUUCUCAUGGAGACACACUUAUGGGAAUAGGAUAAUUGUGUUAACCAUUGUAUCAUAAUGUAGGAGGUAUAAUAGAAUGUAGGAGGUGUAAUAUAAUGUAGGAGGUAUAAUAGAAUGUAGGUGGUAUAAUAGAAUGUCGGAGGUAUAUCAGAAUGUAGAAGGUAUAAUAGAAUGUAGGUGGUAUAAUAGAAUGUAGGAGGUAUAUCAGAAUGUAGGAAGUAUAAUAGAAUGUGGGUGGUAUAAUAGAAUGUAGGAGGUAUAAUAUAAUGUAGGAGGUAUAUCAAAAUGUAGGAGGUAUAAUAGAAUGUAGGUGGAAUAAUAUAUUGUAGGAGGUAUAUCAGAAUGUCGGAGGUAUAAUAGAAUGUAGGUGGUAUAAUAUAUUGUAGGAGGUAUAUCAGAAUGUAGGAGGUAUAAUAGAAUGUAGGAGGUAUAAUAGAAUGUAGGUGGUAUAAUAUAUUGUAGGAGGUAUAUCAGAAUGUAGGAGGUAUAAUAGAAUGUAGGAGGUAUAAUAGAAUGUAGGAGGUAUGUCAGAAUAUAGGAGGUAUAAUAGAAUGUAGGAGGCAUAUCAGAAUGUAGGAGGUAUAUCAGAAUGUAGAAUGUAUAAUAGAAUGUAGAAAGUAUAAUAGAAUGUAGUAGGUAGUGUAAAGGGUCCUAUGUGUGGCUGGUGUAGAGAGUCAGGCGCAGGACAGCAGAUAUGAGUAAUCAACGUACUUUUACUUAUAAUGUCAAAUAUACAAAGUAACAAAUACACGCACACCAUGACAGACCGAAAAUACAAUAAACAAUCACUCACAAAAACCCAUGGGGGAACAGAGGGUUAAAUAAUGAAACAGUAAUUGUGGGAUUGAAAUCAGGUGUGUAAAACAAAGACAAAACAAAUGGAAAAUGAAAAGUGGAUCGGCGGUGGCUAGAAAGCCGGUGAUUUCGACCGCCAACCGCCGUCCGAACAACGAGAGGGACCGACUUGUGCAUUCAGAAAGUAUUCAGAACCUUUCCCUUUUCCACAUUUUGUUACGUUACUGUCACAAGUAUCUUCGUCUUCUGACGAUAAUGCGAAAUCGUCAUCAGAAAAGGUAGAUCAAUACGCAGCAGGUGUGCAGUUGUUCAUUUUGAACAUUUAAUUAAAUCAACACGAAUACAAAAACAACAAACAAGAAAACGAACGAUAAACUGACAGUCUGCAAAGCAUAGGCUCAACACAGA
rnacentral:lncRNA from 1 species